GUAGGGUGCGAGCGUUAUCCGGAAUCAUUGGGCGUAAAGAGCUCGUAGGCGGUUCAGCAAGUCGGCUGUGAAAUUCCGAGGCUCAACCUCGGAACUGCAGUCGAUACUGUUGUGACUCGAGUCCGGUAGAGGAGAAUGGAAUUCCCGGUGUAGCGGUGAAAUGCGCAGAUAUCGGGAGGAACACCAGUAGCGAAGGCGGUUCUCUGGGCCGGCACUGACGCUGAGGAGCGAAAGCGUGGGGGUAGCAAACAGGAUUAGAUACCCUGGUAGUCCACGCCGUAAACGUUGGAUACUAGGUGUGGGGUUCCGACCAACGGUCCCCGUGCCGAAGCUAACGCAUUAAGUAUCCCCGCCUGGGGAUACGGCCGCAAGGCUA
rnacentral:rRNA from 1 species